AUUGAACGCUGGCGGCAUGCCUUACACAUGCAAGUCGAACGGCAGCACGGGAGCAAUCCUGGUGGCGAGUGGCGAACGGGUGAGUAAUAUAUCGGAACGUGCCCAGUCGUGGGGGAUAACGUAGCGAAAGCUACGCUAAUACCGCAUACGAUCUAUGGAUGAAAGCGGGGGAUCGCAAGACCUCGCGCGAUUGGAGCGGCCGAUAUCAGAUUAGGUAGUUGGUGAGGUAAAGGCUCGCCAAGCCGACGAUCUGUAGCUGGUCUGAGAGGACGACCAGCCACACUGGGACUGAGACACGGCCCAGACUCCUACGGGAGGCAGCAGUGGGGAA
rnacentral:rRNA from 1 species